GGGCUAAAGGAAAAAAAACCUGCAAACUCUACUUUGUGUGUAUUUUACUUGGUGACAUCAUUAUAGGAAGGUCUGGAGAGAAAGAGAAGAGCGACCAGCAGUUGACAAGCAGGAUGAUGCAGAUUAUUCAAUGGCAGUUUUGAGCUCACGGUUCAAAGAAGAGGGUAAGUUGGAGAGCAGACAAGUGUCGGCUGAAGAUGAUCACACGGAGGAAGACAACCAUGAAACACAGAGAUGGGAGGUCCAGAAUAAGCAGCCAGUGAGGUGUGAGAACCACCAGAGUCCAACCUGUGAGGU